UACGAAGGGGGCUAGCGUUACUCGGAUUGACUGGGCGUAAAGGGCGCGUAGGCGGCUGGUACAGUCAGACGUGAAAUUCCUGGGCUCAACCUGGGGGCUGCGUUUGAUACGUGCUGUCUGGAGUUCGGAAGAGGGUCGUGGAAUUCCCAGUGUAGAGGUGAAAUUCGUAGAUAUUGGGAAGAACACCCGUGGCGAAGGCGGCUCUCUGGGACGGUACUGACGCUGAGACGCGAAAGCGUGGGGAGCGAACAGG
rnacentral:rRNA from 1 species